rnacentral:rRNA from 1 species
AGUUUGAUUAUAGCUCAGAUUGAACGCUGGCGGGAUGCUUUACAUGCAAGUCGAACGGCGGCACGGACUUCGGUCUGGUGGCAGUGGCGAACGGGUGAGUAAUAUAUCGGAACGUGCCUAGUAGCGGGGGAUAACUACGCAGAAAGCGUAGCUAAUACCGCCCUUCGGGGGAAAGCGGGGGACCUUCGGGCCUCGCACUAUUGAGGCAGCCGAUAUCGAGUUAGCUAGUUGGUGGGGUAACGGCUCGCAAGGCGACGAUCCGUAGCUGGUUUGAGAGGACGACCAGCCACACACUGGGACUGAGACCUGGCCAGACUCCCUACGGGAGGCAGCAGUGGGGAAUUUUUGGACAAUGGGAAACCUGAUCCAGCCACCCCGCGUGUGCGAUGAAGGCCUUCGGUUUAUGCAGCACUUUUGGCGGGAAAGAAGCAGCACAGGAUAAUACCCGUGCAGCUGACGGUACCUGCAGAAUAAGCACCGGCUAACUACGUGCCAGCCGCGGUAAUACGUAAGUGCAAGCGUUAAUCGGAAUACUGGGCGUAAAGCGUGCACCCUUGAGCGGUUCAGAAGAAGAUGUGAAAUCCCAGAGCUUAACUGGAACUGCGUUUUUAACUACCGAGCUAGAGUGUGUCAGAGGGAGGUGGAAUUCACGUGUAGUGAAAUGCGUAGAUAAUGCGGAGGAACACCGAUGGCGAAGGCAGCCUCCUGGGAUAACACCACUGACGCUCAUGCACAGCAUUGGGAGCAAACAGGAUUAGAUACCCUGGUAGUCCACGCCCUAAACGAUGUCCAACUGGCUGUUGGGGCCUUCGGGCCUUGGUAGCAGCUAACGCGUGAAGUUGACCGCCUGGGGGUACGGUCGCAAGAUUAAAACUCAGGAAUUGACGAGGCCGCACAAGCGGUGGAUGAUGUGGAUUAAUUCGAUGCAACGCGAAAAACCUACCCUUGACAUGUCUGGAAUCCCGAAGAGAUUUGGGAGUGCUCGCAAGAACGGAACGGGUGCUGCAUGGCUGUCGUCAGCUCGUGUCGUGAGAUGUUGGGUUAAGUCCCGCAACGAGCGCAACCUUGUCGUUGAUUGCUACGAAGGGCAUCUGUGGGAACUGCCGGUGACAAACCGGAGGAAGGUGGGGAUGACGUCAAGUCCUCAUGGCCCUUAUGGUGGGGGCUUCACGGUCAUACAAUGGUCGGGACGGAGAGGUCGCCAACCCGCAGGGAGCCAAUCCCAGAAACCCGAUCGUAGUCCGGAUCGCCAGUCUGCAACUCGACUGCGUGAAGUCAGAAUGCUAAUCGCGGAUCAGCAUGUCGCGUGAAUACGUUCCCGGGUGUAUACACACCGCCCGUCACACCAUGGGAGUGGGUUUUACCAGAAGUAGUUAGCCUAACCGUAAGGAGGGCGGUACCACCGGUAGGAUUCAUGACUGGUGUGAAGUCAUGCUGGUAA